AUAAAAAUAGACCAUUUUAUGAAACUUUUUAUCUGGAUGGGAAUCAAGAAAAUUCGAAGUUAGAAAUAUUGAUAGAAAAAAAAAAAAAAAAUCUUUUCUGGUUUGAAAAACCUAUUGUAACUAUUCUUUUUGACUCGAAACGUUAGAAUCGUCCAUUACGAUAUAUAAAAAAUAAUUAGUUUGAGAAUGCUGGAAUGCUAUAUAAAUGUUAAAUGUAAAUAAUAAAUUCAAUUUAUUUAAAUAAUAUAAAUAAUUAAUAAAUUUAAAUAAUAAAUAUACAUAUAAUAAAUAUAUAUACGUAUAAUAAAUAUACGUAAAUAAUAAAUAUUUUAUUUAUUUAUUAUUAUUUAUUAAAUAUUAAUAUUAAAUUCAAAAUUAUAUUAAAUAAUUAAAAUUAGAAUUAUAUUCUAUAUUAAAUAAUUGUAAAAAAAUAAUUAUAUAAUUGAAUAUUUUAUAAUUAUAAUAUAUAUAUAAUUAUAAUAUAAUUGAAUAUUUUUAUUUAUUUUUUAUUUUAUUUUAAUAUAAUUCAAUAUUCUAAAUUUAAUAUAAUUCAAUAUUAUAAUUAUAAUAUUCUAUUCAAUUAAAUAUUAUAAUAAAAUUAAAAUAAAAAAAUUCAAUAUUAAAAUUAAUAAAAUUUAAAAUAAAGUCUUACAAUUUGUAAAUAAAAUUAAAUUUUUUUUUACAAAUUGUAAAAAGAUUAAUGCAUAAAAUAAAUAUAAUAAGAGAUAAGAAGAGAUGCGACCGCUUCCUACAUAUUUUAUACCAUCUCCUACAAAGAAACUGGUAACACCAACUCCAUUGGUAAUUCCAUCAAUUAUUCGUUUAUCAAAAAAAUGAAUUAAUUCAGCUAAUUUUCUUAUACCUCCAAUAAAAGAUAUUUCAUAAAAAGCAUCUAUGUAACCUCGAUUAUAGGACCAGUUAUAUAUGACGUUUAUUAUUUUGUCCCAAAGAAUUCUCUUAGAACAUUUUUUAGCGAGCGAAUUAAAGAAAUUCAAAUUUUGUAACGAUGAAUAAACAGGCUUAUAAAAAGAGGACGCUAUAAAUAUUCCGAAAAAAGCUAUACUGACUGAAAAAAUUGCAUUUGUUACAAAUUCAUACCAAUCCACAGAAUUCUUUGAAUUUUGAUGCAAAAGUUUUAAAGACGGAGUUAACAGUUUUGACAAUAUAUCCACCUCCAUUCCUUUUUGAUUGAAACGAAUUUGAUUGAAAGGAAUUCCUAUGGCUCCAAUAAACAAAGCAAAUAGUACCAAGACAAGCAUAGAAAAUAACAUAGUAUUAUCCGAUUCAUGAGGAUAGGCAAAAAUCCUUUUAGUGUUAAAAUUUUUAAUAGUAAUAAAAGGCCACAUCAUCUUUCUUACAUUACCAUCAAUUUGAUAUGUGUUCUUCCAAAAAAAAGAAGCCCUUUCGUUAUUAUUCGUUGUUAAGAAAGGUAAUAAACCCAAACUUUCGUUAAGCAUUUUUUAUCCUUCUUUACCCCAUAAAGAUAUUGAAUAAAAUGAACUAUUUUUUUUACCACUGUAAUUUUUUAAAUGAACAUUUAAAUGUCCUUCAAAAGUAAGUAAAUAAACACGAAACAUAUAAAAUGCAGUUAAUCCGGCCGUGAAACAAGCUAUUAUUGCGAAAACCGGCGAAUACAACCAACUAUCGUUAAGAAUUUCAUCUUUGGACCAAAAACAGGCGAAGGGUGGAAUACCACAAAGAGAAAGUGUUCCUAAAAAAAAAGCAGUUUUUGUAAUUGGAAUAUGUUUUGUUAAACCACCCAUAAGAAUCAUAUUUUGACUCUUAUCUGGAGAAUAACCAACAAUAGCUUCCAUUGAAUGAAUAAUGGAUCCAUAUCCUAAAAACAAUAAUGCUUUCGAAUAGGCAUGAGUAAUCAAAUGAAAUAAAGCGACUCGAUAAGACCCCAUACCUAGAGCUAACAUCAUAUAACCUAAUUGAGACAUUGUAGAAUAGGCUAAACUUCUCUUAAUAUCUUUUUGAGGAAGAGCUAAAGUAGCUCCUAAAAAUAUUGUUAUUAUACCUAUCAAAGCUAUUAGAUUCAUUAUGUAAGGUAUGACUACAAAAAGAGGAAAAAGUCAAGCUACAAGAAAAAUUCUUGCCGCUACCAUAGUAGCAGCAUGUAUUAGAGCCGAAAUAGGAGUAGGCCCUUCCAUGGCAUCCAGUAACCAUACAUGGAGAGGAAAUUGUGCCGAUUUAGCAAUUGCGCCAGAAAAUACUAGAAAGGCACACAAAGUAACAAAUAAAAAAUGAACCUGAUUAUUAUAAACCAAGUUAUUCAAUAUUUUGAACAAAUCCCGAAAUUCGAAACUGCCCGUUAUCCAAUAAAUGCCCAAAAUUCCCAAUAAUAAACCAAAAUCCCCUACACGAUUAGUUACAAAGGCUUUUUGACAAGCAUUCGAUGCAAUAGGUCGUGUGAACCAAAACCCUAUUAAUAGAUAAGAACACAUUCCAACCAACUCCCAAAAAAUAUAAAUUUGUAUCAAAUUAGAACUAGUAACUAAUCCCAACAUUGAAGUAUUGAAAAAACUCAUAUAAGCAAAAAAUCUCAAAUAGCCUUGAUCAUGAGACAUAUAAUUGUCACUAUAAAAAAGAACCAUAAUUCCAACUGUAGUAAUUAAUACUGACAAAAUAGAAGUAAGUGGGUCAAUCAAGUGUCCGAAUUCUAAAGAAAAAUCAUUAUUGAUAGUCCACGACCAUAUAUAUUGAUAAAUAAAACUGCUAUUUAUUUGGUGAAUAGACAAGUCGAUUGAAAAAAUCAUGACUAUACUUAACAAGAAAAGGCUUGGAAAAGCCCACAUACGACGAAGUUUUUUUGUUGCCGCCGGAAAAAGUAGGAGUCCCGCUCCUAUUAACAUAGGAGCUGGGAAUGUAACAAAAGGUAUGACCCAUGAAUAUUGAUAUAUAUGUUCCAUAAAAAAACUUUUUGAAUUGAUAAUUAAUUGUUUCUUGUUUCUGAUUCAUCGGCUCUUAUAUCUUUUUAAAUAAGUCAGUCAAUAAAAAAAAAAUAUGUAAAACUUCAAUCGAAUUUUAUAUUCUUAAUUAUUCUGAAUUUUCCAAAAUACUUCACAUACAAAAUACUUCACAUAUUUAAAUCAAAAAGUUAAAAUUGGUCAAAUCAAAUAAAUAAAAAUAUUAGUGAAAAAAAAUACUUAUUCUAAAUAAAAAAAAUAAAUUAUAAUUUUAUUAUUAAAAUUUUAUUAUUAAUAUUAAUUACAUUCCAUAAUUAUUAAAUAUUAAUUACAUAUACAUAAUUAUUACAUUAAUUAUUAAUAUUAAUUUAAUUACAUAAUUACAAGUUUUUAUAUACAUAGAGAAAAGAUAAAGAAUUUUAACAAUUAUAAGAAAAGUAGUAUUUUUUUUCUUGAUAGAAAUAAAAAAAGAAAGAUGAUUUUAUCGGAUCCUUACUGGAUCAAAAUAAUUAUUUUUUUGAGUUCUUUUAUUUUUUUUAUUCAGAAUUAUUAACUAGUGGAUUUUGGAACGGAUUUAUUGCCUUUCAUUAUGUUUGUAGAAAAGACUAUCAUAUUUGAAACUUUUCCUUUACAUAAGAUAAAAAGCAAAGAAUUACUAAAUUUUUUUCCUUUUUUAACAAAUUAAUAGUCUCAUUCAAUUUGAAAAUUUUAAUUCAAUUAGAUAUACUUUUUCUUCAAGUUUGACCAAUUACUAGAAAAAUGAAGUUAAAGUCUUUUUAUUAGGAUAAAUAAAAUUUAGAGUCUUAAACUUUAUUGCUGUAUUUUAAUCCACGUAUAUAUGGAAUAUAAUGAAAAAGGCAGAAAUAGAAAAAAAAAUAAGCGGAUAGGCUUCUUUUUUGACAAGAGUAUAAUUGAGAGACUAAAUACAUAAAUAUAGUAAAGAACAAUUUUGUUUUGAACAAUAAAUGUCUUUCACAUCCAACUAUAACAAUAAACAACUUCUUUAUUAUGGCAGUUCCAAAAAAGCGCACUUCUAGAUCAAAAAAGCGUAUUCGAAAAAAUAUUUGAAAAAAAAAGGAUAUUGGGCAGUAUUAAAAGCUUUUUCAUUAGCGAAAUCUCUUUCUACAGGUAAUUCAAAAAGUUUUUUUGUGCAACAAAUAAAAAAUAAAAGGUUGUUUCUAAUAUAAAAUAGAAAUAUAUAUAAUAUAGAAUAGAAAAUAUAUAAAAUAUAUAGAAAAUAUAUAAAAAGGAUUUCCAUAUAUCUUUUUCAACUUUAGAACAUAUAUUAACUCAUAUAUCUUUUUCAAUCGUAUCACUUGUAAUUACAAUUCAUUUGAUAACUUUAGUAGUCGAUGAAUUUGUUGAACUAUAUGAUUCGUCAGAAAAGGGCAUGAUAACCACUUUUUCCUGUAUAACAGGAUUAUUAGUUACUCGUUGGAUUUCUGGGGGACAUUUACCAUUAAGCGAUUUAUAUGAAUCAUUAAUCUUUCUUUCAUGGGCUUUUUCCAUUAUUCAUAUGGUUCCGUAUUUUAAAAAUAUAAAAAUUAUUUAAGCGCAAUAACCGUCCCAAGUACUUUUCUUACCCAAGGGUUUGCUACUCAGGCCUUUUAACUAACACGCAUCAAUCCAAAAUCUUAGUGCCUGCUCUCCAAUCCCAGUGGUUAAUGAUGCACGUAAGUAUGAUGAUAUUGGGCUAUGCAGCUCUUUUGUAUGGAUCAUUAUUAUCAGUUGCAUUUCUAGUAAUCACAUUUCGAAAAAUCAUAAGAAUUAUUGAUGUUGAUAAAAGCAAUAAUUUAUUAAAUGAUUCAUUUUCCUUUAGCUUUAGUGGGAUACAAUAUAUGAUGGAAAGAAAGAAUGUUUUAAAAAAUAUUUAUUUUCUUUCUUCUAGGAAUUAUUACAGGUUUCAAUUAAUUCAACAAUUAGAUGACUGGGGUUAUCGUAUUAUAAGUAUAGGGUUUAUCUUUUUAACCAUAGGUAUUCUUUCGGGAGCAGUCUGGGCUAAUGAAGCAUGGGGAUCAUAUUGGAAUUGGGACUCCAAGGAAACUUGGGCAUUUAUUACGUGGACCAUAUUCGUAAUUUAUUUUCAUACUCGAACAAAUAAAAAUUUUGAGGGUUUAAAUUCCACAAUUGUUGCUUCUAUUGGUUUUCUUAUAAUUUGGAUAUGCUAUUUUGGAGUUAAUUUAUUAGGAAUAGACUACAUAGUUAUGGUUCAUUUACAUUAACAAUUAACAUCUAAUUGAAUUGAAGAAAGGAAAGGGUCUGACGGAUGCAACUAUAUGGGGCAGCAAAGCAUAUAUACAAAAAGCUUCGGGUAAACCGUUGAGAACCUUUUGAAUCAUUAUAUUACUUGAUUCAAAAAGUCAUUAUAUUACUUGAUUCAAAAAGUUCUCACAAAUGCCAAAAUAUUUAGUUACAAUUCCGUUUUUUUUAUUGAACUUAAAUUUAAGAGACGAAAAAAUAAGUUUUUUUCCUUGUAUAACAUAACGAUUUUAAAAAAUGAAAAAUCAUAGGAUUUCUUUUUCAUUUUGAGUUUUAUUUAGAAAAACUAUCUAUAAAAAUAAUUAGAUAGAAGAGCUUCGACCCUGCCAACUGAUAAUGAAAAAAGGAAAUCCGGAUAAAUACCAAUACCUAUUACAGGCAAAAGGAUAGAGAUCGAAACAAAUAACUCCCUCGGUCCAGAAUCAAAAAAAUAAGAGUUUGGAGCAUUAAACAGCUUGUAUUCAUAAAACAUCUGGCGUAACAUAGAUAAUAAAUAAAUAGGAGUUAAUAUCAUUCCAACUGCCAUUCCAAAAGUAAUUACUAUUUUUGACAUUAAAAGAUAUUUUUGGCCGGUAAUUAUUCCAAAAAAUACUGCCAAUUCCGCAAAAAAAUCGCUCAUGCCUGGUAAUGCAAGGGAAGCUAGUGAUAAGAUACUGAAUGUCGUGAAUAUUUUUGGCAUUAGUGUAGCCAUUCCGCCCAUUUCAUCAAGAUACACACGACGUAUUCUAUCAUAACCCGUUCCUACUAAGAAAAAAAGUGCAAUGCCAAUAAACCCAUGUUGAAGCUGCAUAGAUUAUUUGCAUGACGCCUACUAUUAUCAACCAGGGAGAAAAGAUAGAAUGAGCAUGAGGUAAUAAUUCCAUAUUGAUUCGAACCAACCCAUACUCCCCCAUUUUUAAUAAGAUUCCGGCUAGAAGCAUACAAGUACUGUAAUGUGCUUCCCCAUGGGUGUCUGGUAACCAUAUAUGUAAGGGUAUAAUCGGUAAUUUGACAGCAAAAGCAAUAAGAAAUCCAAUAUAAAAAUAUAUUUCUAGCACCACAGGAUAUGAUUGAUUGGCUGAUGUUUCAAAAUUGAAUCUUGGUUCAUUGGAACCAUAUAAAGCGAUACCCAAAGCUCCCAUUAAUAAAAAAACGGAACCCCCAGUAGUAUACAAAAUAAACUUUGUAGCUGAAUACAGACGUUUCUUCCCCCCCCCACAUGGAUAGAAGUAGAUAAAUCAGAAUUAAUUCUAACUCCCACAUGACAAAAAAAAGCAAAAGAUCUUGAGAAGAAAAUAAUCCUAUUUGACCACUAUACAUUGCUAACAUCAGAAAAUUAAAUAAGCGGGAAUCACGAGUAAUUGGCUAAGCCGCUAAAGUAGCUAAAGUGGUGAUAAAUCAUGUCAGUAAAAUAGGGCUUAAAGAAAAUCCAUCUAUUCCUAAUCUCCAGUAAAAAUCAAAAAAUUGGAUCCAUUUAUAAUCUUCUGUUGAUUGGAUUAAUGGGUCGUCCAAUUGGAAAUAAUAAGAGAAUGCAUAAGUCAUUAAAAGGAGUUCUAAAAUACAUAUAAACAAAGUAUACCACCUAAUUACCUUAUUUCCUCUAUGGGGGAAAAAGAAAAUUAAGGAACCCGCAGAUAUCGGUAAAACUACAAAUAUUGUUAACCAAGGAAAAGAAUUCGUGGUAAAGGCAAGAUACAUUUGGACUAGAAAAACCCGUACUCGAAAACAUAAUAUAUAUAUAUAUUUUGUAUUUUUUGUUUUUCGAGUACGGGUUUUUGUCGGUAAACAUAAAAUCAAAUGCAUUCAAGUGGAUUUUUCUGAAAAGUAUCAAUAAGCUAGACCCAUGCUUUGGGUUGUUUCAUGCCAUAAAUAAACUCGAACACUCAAGAAAUCUGUUGGACAGGCGGAUUCACAUCUCUUACAACCAACACAGUCUUCUGUUCUUAGAGCAGAAGCGAUUUGCUUAGAUUUACACUCAUCCCAAGGUAUCAUUUCUAAUACAUCUGUGGGGCAGGCUCGGACACAUUGAGUACACCCUAUACAUGUAUCAUAAAUCUUUACUGAAUGCGACAUUGGAUUUCUAAAUUUUUUAACGUCAUAAAAUUUCAAUCUAGUAAAUUUCUAAAUGAAUCGUCAUAUAUUUAGACACCAGACGAAUCAAUGAUUUAUCAGAAUUUUUCUAUUGAAUUCUGGAUUGACUCGUGAGAUAGGGCCAGGAUACUUUAAUUUCGUACGUUUUCGCAAACAUGAUCGGAUAAGUUACGUAUCAUACAUGCCAACUUGAAUUAAUGAAUAUGAAAAUUAUAUUCUAUAUGAUUAAUCCUACUUAUUCAACAAAUUCGAUUGAUUGAUACAUAUUGAUUUUCUAUUAUGAUAAAUUGACGAAACAAUAGCUGGUCCAAUAGCUGCUUCAGCGGCUGCAAUAGCUAUAACAAAAAUUGAAAAAAUAUUUCCCUUUAAUUGGCGACUAUUAAUAAAAUCAGAAAAUGUUACGAAAUUUAUAUUAACUGCAUUCAGUAUAAGUUCAAGGCACAUAAGGGCUCUACCAUAUUUCAUGAUCAAUCCAUAGAUACCGAUAAAAAAUAAAUAGGCACUCAAAGCGAGUACAUGUUCGAGCAUCAUUGACCAACUCCUUAUCAAUUUCGAUUUAUUUCAAUAUGAACAACAAUUCAACAUCAAUAGAUUGGAUUGACUAGAAUAAGAAUAUCCAAAGUACAGAACAAAGAAAUAUAUGGAUAAAGAUCAAAAUGGAUAUGGAUAAUAGAUCAAAUAAAAGAAUUUAUACAUAAAUAAUCUUUAAAUGGAAUUGAAAAAAAAAAUGUGAUAACAUAGAACAAAUAGAUUGGGGUUACUAAUUCUAAAGAUUUAUUGCUGACGAGCCGCAGCAAUCGCACCUAUCAAAGCAACUAAAAGAAUUAUUGAAAUGAAUUCAAACGGAAGAAAAAAAUCUGUUGAUAAAUGAAUUCCAAUUUGUUGACCAUUACUUAUUAAAUCUUGUUCUAUAAUCUGAUUUUAUUUUUGUAGUCCAAAUAAUCCCGUACCAUGAUGUAUCUGGAAUAAUAGUAAUUAGUGAAACAAAAAUACUUGUACAAAUUAAGGAAGUAACUCCGUUUCCAACAGUCCAAAGAUUAGAAUCUUUGUAAUAUUCUGAACCAUUCAUGAAUAUCACGGCAAAUAUAAUUAAAACGUUUAUGGCUCCUACAUAAAUAAGGAGCUACGCAGCAGCUACAAAAUGAGAGUUUGAUAAAAUAUAGAAUAAAGAUAUACAAACAAGAACCAACCCUAAUGAAAAGGCAGAAUAAAUUGGGUUGGUAAGUAAUACCACUCCUAGAACUCCUAAUAUAAGACCUAAUCCCAUAAAAAAUAAAAGAAAAUCAUGUAUUAGUCCAGGCAAAUCCAUUGCACGUAAAAUAAGAGAUAAAAAAAUUGAAUUGUUUUUUCAUGACCUUAUUGACCUGACCAGGAAAAAUUUAUUUAUAAUAGGUUCUAAACCAUAAGGGGUGUAAAUUACUAUAGGUAUAGCUAUUGUAUGAAUCUCAUUCUUUCUCGAAAAAGGCAUUCUAAAUUUAAUUUUAGAAAUAAUUAUGGCUAGAAUUACGCAUAUAUUAAUAGAUUUUCACAAAAAAAUAAAGCCGCGAUGCAAUUCUGACCAAUUAAAUCAAUAGCUGGAAUUUGUAAUUUUCGUAUUUAUUGACCAAGAAAAAUUAAAAAAAACCUAUUGCAGCCCUUUAGAUCAAAACAGAAUUUUAGUUUAAUAAUUGUACUUUUUAAUCAAUCAAAGCGUUUUAUCCUUUUUGUUUCUAGUUGAAUUCAAAAUUGUUCGAAUUGUAUAAUCGUCGACUACUGACAUUGGUAAACGACCUAAAGCAAUUUGAUUAUAAUUCAAUUCGUGAUGAUCAUAAGUGGAAAGUUCAUAUUCUUCAGUCAUUGAUAAACAAUUUGGUGGACAAUACUCAACACAGUUGCCACAAAAUAUACAGAUUCUGAAAUCAAUACUAUAAUUAAGCAACUGUUUCUUUCGAAUGUCAGUUUCCAAUUUCCAAUCAACAAUAGGUAGAUCUAUAGGACAUACCCGAACACAUACUUCACAAGCAAUGCAUUUAUCAAAUUCAAAAUGGAUUCGACCGCGGAAAUGCUCUGAUGUGAUUAAUUUUUCAUAAGGAUAUUGAAUAGUUACAGGUAAACGAUUUGCAUAGGAUAAGAUAAUCAUGAAACUUUGACCAAUAUAUCGUGCAACUCAUAUGGUUUGUUGCCCAUAAUUCAUGAACCCAGUUACCAUGGGAAACAUAUCAUGAAUAUUUAUGAAUGAUUUUCUAUUUUGUUUUUCUCUUAUUUGAAUUUGAAAACAAGCCAUGAAUAUAGAAAAAUAUUCCUUUUUUAUUCUUUUAUAGCGAAAGGAGUUGGAAAGAGGUUGUUAAUAAGAGAUUGCCGAGAGAAAUAGGUAAAAGAAAUUUCCAUCCAAGAUUUAAAAGUUGGUCCAUUCUUAGUCUAGGUAAAGUCCAUCUUGUUGUGAUAGGAAUGAACAAGAACAAAUAAGUUUUAACCAAUGUAAUACAGAUACCGAUUGUUAUUCUAAAAACUCCACCUAUUUUAUUUGUUUCAAAAGGCUCAGGAACGAAUAUAUAUGGAAUAGAGAUAUUCCAACCGCCCAAGUAAAGAACUAUUACAAAUAAUGAAGAAACUAAUAAGUUUACUUAGGAAGCAAUAUAAAAUAAACCAAAUUUGAUACCUGAAUAUUCGGUUUGAUAACCUGCUACUAAUUCUUCUUCUGCUUCUGGUAAAUCAAAAGGUAAUCUCUCACAUUCUGCUAGAGAAGAAAUAAAAAAAAUGAUAAAUCCUAUAGGUUGACGCGAUAAAUUCCACCCCAAAAAACCCGAUUUUGAUUGUGCCUCAACUAUAUCAAUUGUACUUGAACUGUUAGAUAAUCAUAGUCGGCGAGAACAUCACUGUUCCCAUCGCUAUUACAGAACCGUACAUGAGAUUCUCACCUCAUACAGCUCCUCGAAGGCCAUAAAUAAAUUUAAGGAGAUCGUAUUAUUUAUUUUGCUAUAUUUGUAGGAUAUAUAGGAUCAAAAUAAAAUAAUCUAAUUGAUAGAGGAAGCAUCGUAAAGAUCAAUUAGCGAGAUUUUUGGACGAUACAGUAAUAACCUGCUUACUUAUGUCAUAAUAUGAGAUAAAAGUUAGGAAUCAACUUCUGUAAAAGAGUAGAUCCCCUAAAGUAUUGAGCAGCGGUGUAGCAUCAGAUCCCAAAGAUAGUAAGUCUUUCUUAUGAGGGAAGGUCUUUUCCAAAGAUUCUAUAUAAAUUUCUAUAUAAAAAACCCGAGAUAGUUAACUUUCAAAAAAUUCUAACGAUAGUAGAAGGUCUGCGCUUUAUUCUUCUGAAGGUGGGAGAAAAGAUAAAACUGAUUUUUCAUCCAAAUUCUAGUUUGAAUUUCAUGUAAUGUAAUUAACCCCUUUUGGUUAACUCGAGAAAGAAAAUGGGACACCAAAAGAAUUGACUGCCGAGCUGUAUGAGGUAGGAAACUCUCAAGUACGGUUCUAAUGGAAGGAAUUUGCUUGCCUAUUCUGACCGAGGAGAACAGGCCAUUCGGCAGGGAGAUUUUGAAAUUGCGGAGGCUUGGUUGGAUCAAGCCGCAGAGUAUUGGAAACAAGCUAUAGCGCUUACUCCCAUAAAUUAUAUUGAAGCGCAGAAUUGGUUGAAGUUCACAAGGCAUUUUGAAUAAGAUAAGAGCAUUCCCUUUAUAUUUUUGUAUUUAUUAUUUAAUUUAGUAUUUUUUUAGUAUUUGGUAUAUUUUUUUAUUUCUUAUAAAAAAUUUGUUAUAAUUAUUUGUUUGUUAUCCCUAUCAGUCAAAUAAAAUAAAAGGAUGGUUUCUCUGGGAAGAACCAAUCAAAAAAUUUCAUGAAUUUCAUUAUACCCCUUCUAAGAUCGUCCCCUUUUGUCUGGUAUUUCAUAGGAAUAAACACUACACAGAUAUAAACAGUAGAGAAUAUAUAUUUUCUAUAUUUUCUUUUCUGUUAUUAAAAUGAAUAAAAGAUAGCCUAAUAGAUCCUGGAAUGUCUCUUACUAAUGACUAAUGGCCUCUCACCUGAUUUGGAAUAGAGUAAUAGUAAUAUGUUCUAUGUAAAAAAAAAACAUAAGUAAAAUAUAAAGCAGUCUCGGCUAGAAACUUUUAAUUAAGAUAGGAAUACACUAGGUUGCACAAAAAAUUGUUUUUGCGUUAAUUCAAAGCCCAGAAAGGUCCGUUGAGCGCCUUGUGGCUAUGUCAUAAUAGAUCCGAACACUUGCCUUGGAUCGACUUCCAGAUCAUAAUUACUCUAGUGAAUAACUAAAAAAACUAGAUAAGAUAAAUGGGAGAUAGAAGAGAAAGAAACUAAUUAUAAGUAUCUCUCAUAGGUUCACUAAUUGCUUGACUCGAUUGUUGGCGGAUCUCUUUAUAUGCGUUGUCCGGAAAGAGGAGGACUCAAUGAUUAUUCAUUCGCCGGAACCAGAAGUAUAAAUUUUGGUAGAUAGGGAUCCCGUCAAAACUUCUUUCGAGGAAUGGGCUAGACCGGGUCAUUUCUCAAGAACAAUAGCUAAAGGACCAGAUACUAAUCUGGAACCUACAUGCUGAUGCUCACGAUUUCGAUAGCCAUACCAGUGAUUUGGAGGAGAUUUCUCGAAAAGUAUUUAGUGCUCAUUUCGGCCAACUCUCAAUCAUCUUUCUUUGGCUGAGUGGCAUGUAUUUCCACGGUGCUCGUUUUUCCAAUUAUGAAGCAUGGCUAAGUGAUCCUACUCACAUUGGACCUAGUGCCCAAGUGGUUUGGCCAAUAGCCAAGAAAUAUUGAAUGGUGAUGUGGAGGGGGGGGGGGGGGGUUCCGAGGAAUACAAAUACAGGAUUUCCAUCAAUCGAAUCACUUUCUUAAGAAAUACGAGACAUCUAAGUCAUACAAGUAAAGAGAUUCAUCCAUUGAUAAGAAAAAGAAAAAACGUGAAUGGUGAUUGGAUUGAUGAUAAAAUAGAAUCCUUGGUCGCGAACAGUGAUUCGAUUGAUGAUAAAGAAAGAGAAUUCUUGGUUCAAUUCUCCACCUUAACGACAGAAAAAAGGAUUGAUCAAAUUCUAUUGAGUCUGACUUGUAGUGAUCAUUUAUCAAAGAAUGACUCUGGUUAUCAAGUGAUUGAAGAGCCGGGAGCAAUUUAUUUAUGAUACUUAGUUGACAUUCAUAAAAAGUAUCUAAUGAAUUAUGAGUUCAAUACACCCUGUUUAGCAGAAAGACGGAUAUUCCUUGCUUAUUAUCAGACAACCACUUAUUCACAAACCUCGUGUAGGGUGAAUAGUUUUCAUUUCCCAUCUCAUGGAAAACCCUUUUCGCUCCGCUUAACUAUGUUUAUACUCAAGUAAUCAAAUAUGUCAUGGUUACAGGAGUCUAUACAUCGCAUAUAGGCUUUAACAGCAUCGUGGCAUAACCGUCGAGGUGAGUUCGGGACCUAAAAGAUCGAAUAGAAAGAGACAUAGACAAAUAAAUCCCUUACGAAUUCUAAGGUACUAGGAUUUUAUCAUUCGAAGGGAAGUAUACUACUCAAGAAUUUCACAUUUCAUUUAGAUCGUAAUUGUGAAAAUUGAAUAAGUUGUGAUAAUUGAAUAAAGAAUUCAGAAAUUCGAAAAAAAAAGGAAGAAGGAAUUAAUGAGAGCUUGCUUGGUGUUCAUUAUUCAUUGGGAACUUGAGUAAGGAGUAGCUCUUUUUUUGGUUUUUACCGAUUUUGAAAUUUGAAAGCAGGAACCCUUUUCUUUCUAUUUGGUAUAACUACUUGAGCCGGAUGAGAGGAAACUUUCACGUCCGAUUUUGAAAGGGGGAGACCUAUAGUAUAGGAGUAUAGGAUCCUAUCCCAAUUUUUCUUUUGCUAGGCCCAUAGCUAAAAAACCUACUUUUUUACGAUUACGAGGUUCAUUCGAAUACGAAAUUCAAUCAUGGAAAUACAGUAUUCCACUUUUUUUUACUGCCCAAGGCUUCGAUACAUUUCAAAAUCGAGAAAUUUCUAUAGGAGCUGGUGCUAUCCGAGAAUAAUUAGCCGAUCUAGAUUUGCGAAUUAUUAUAGAUUAUUCAUCGGUAGAAUGGAAAGAAUUAGGGGAAGAAGGGCCUACGGGGAAUGAAUGGGAAGAUCGAAAAGUUGGAAGAAGAAAGGAUUUUUUGGUUCGACGCGUGGAAUUAGCUAAGCAUUUUAUUCGAACAAAUAUAGAACCAGAAUGGAUGGUUUUAUGUCUAUUACCAGUUCAUCCUCCCGAGUUGAGACCGAUCAUUCAGAUAGAUGGGGGUAAACUAAUGAGUUCAGAUAUUAGUGAACUCUAUAGAAGAGUUAUCUAUCGGAACAAUACUCUUAUUGAUCUAUUAACAACAAGUAGAUCUACGCCAGUAGAAUUAGUAAUGUGUUAGGAAAAAUUAGUACAAGAAGUCGUGGAUACACUUCUUGAUAAUGGAAUCCGCGGACAACCAAUGAGAGAUGGUCAUAAUAAGGUUUACAAGUCAUUUUCGGAUGUAAUUGAAGGCAAAGAAGGAAGAUUUCGUGAGACUAUGCUUGGAAAACGAGUUGAUUAUUCGGGGCGUUCUGUCAUUAUCGUAGGCCCCUCAAUUUCAUUACAUCGAUGUGGAUUGCCUCGCGAAAUAGCAAUAGAACUUUUCCAGAUAUUUGUAAUUUGUGGUCUAAUUAGACAACAUCUUGCUUCGAACAUAGGAGUUGCUAAGAGUAAAAUUCGAGAAAAAGAGCCAAUUGUAUGGGAAAUACUUCAGGAAGUUAUGCAGGGGCAUCCUGUAUUACUAAAUAGAGCACUGACUUUGCAUAGAUUAGGCAUACAGGCAUUCCAACCCAUUUUAGUGGAAGGCCGCGCUAUUUGUUUACAUCCAUUAGUUUAUAAGGGAUUCAAUGCAGACUUUGGUGGGGAUCAAAUGGUUGUUCAUGUACCUUUAUCAUUGGAGGCUCAAGCGGAGGCUCGUUUACUUAUGUUUUCUCAUAUGAAUCUCUUAUCUCCAGCUAUUGGAGAUCCCAUUUCCAUACCAACUUAAUAUAUGCUUAUUGGGCUCUAUGUAUUAACAAGCAGGAAUCGCCGAGGUAUUUGUGCAAAUAGGUAUAAUCUAUGUAAACACAGAAAUUAUCAAAAUGAAAGAAUUUACGAUAAUAACAAUCAAUAUACGAAAGAAUCCUUUUUUUCUAAUUCCUAUGAUGCAAUUGGUGCUUAUCGGCAGAAAAGAAUCAAUUUAGAUAGUCCUUUGUGGCUCCGGUGGCAACUAGAUCAACGCGCUAUUGCUUCAAGAGAAGCUCCCGUCGAAGUUCACUAUGAAUCUUUGGGUACCUAUCAUGAGAUUUAUGAACACUAUCUAAUAGUAAGAAAUAUAAAAAAAGAAAUUCUUUGUAUAUACAUUCGAACUACUGUUGGUCAUAUUUCUCUUUAUCGAGAAAUCGAAGAAGCUAUACAAGGGUUUUGCCAAGCCGGCUCAGAUGGUAUCUAAUCAUAGGGAUCUAAGCUAAGUAAUUCUAUGACACUGGCAUGAAUUCUGAUCUCUUCGGUUCAGCUAGGACCCUAGUUCCUGAAUUUCAUUUCCAUGCAAAUCAAGAUCGAGAAAAGGAAGUUUCCAAUCAUUGACUCAAAUCCAUUGUCGAACUCUACUCGGCGGAAUAUGGAGGUACUUAUGGCCAAACGGGCCAAUCUGGUCUUUCACAAUAAAGUGAUAGAUAGAACUGCCAUUAAACGACUUAUUAGUAGAUUAAUAGAUAAUUUUGGAAUGGCAUAUACAUCACACAUCCUGGAUCAAGUAAAGACUUUGGGUUUCCAGCAAGCCACUGCUAUAUCCAUUUCAUUAGGAAUUGAUGAUCUUUUAACAAUACCUUCUAAGGGAUGGCUAGUUCAAGAUGCUGAACAACAAAGUUUGAUUUUGGAAAAACACUAUCAUUAUGGAAAUGUACACGCGGUAGAAAAAUUACGCCAAUCUAUUGAGAUAUGGUAUGCUACAAGUGAAUAUUUGCGACAAGAAGUGAAUCUUAAUUUUAGGAUGACAGAACCCUUUAAUCCAGUCCAUAUAAUGUCUUUUUCGGGAGCUAGGGGAAAUGUAUCUCAAGUACACCAAUUAGUUGGUAUGAGAUGAUUAAUGUCGGAUCCACAAGGACAAUGAUCGAUUUACCUAUUCAAAGCAAUUUACGCGAAGGACUAUCUUUAACAGAAUAUAUCAUUUCUUGCUACGGAGCCUGCAAAGGGGUUGUCGAUACCGCUGUAUGAACAUCAGAUGCUGGAUAUCUUACGCGUAGACUUAUUGAAGUAGUUCAACACAUUGUUGUACGUAGAACAGAUUGUGGCACCACCCGAGGGAUUUCUGUGAGUCCUCGAAAUGGGAUGAUGUCAGAAAGAAUUUUUAUUCAAACAUUAAUUGGUCAUGUAUUAGCAGACAAUAUAUAUAUAGGUCUAUGAUGCAUUGCCAUUCGAAAUCAAGAUAUUGGGAUUAGACUUGCCAAUCGAUUCAUAACCUUUCAAACACAAACAAUAUCUAUUCGAACUCCCUUUACUUGAAGGAGUACGUCUUAGAUCUAUCGAUUAUGUUAUAGCCGGAGUCCUACUCAUGGCGAUCUAGUGGAAUUGGGGGAAGCUAUAGGUAUUAUUGCAGGUCAAUCCAUUGGAGAGCCGGGUACUUAACUAACGUUAAGAACAUUUCAUACUGGCGGAGUAUUCACAGGGGGUAGUGCAGAACAUGUAUGAGCCCCUUCUAAUGGAAAAAUAAAAUUUAACGAGGAUUUGGUUCAUCCCAUACGUACACGUCAUAGGCAUCCUGCUUUUCUAUAUUAUAUAGACUUGUAUGUAACUAUUGAAAGUCACGAUAUUAUACAUAACGCUACUAUUCCACCAAAGAGUUUCCUUUUAGUUCAAAACAAUUAAUAUGUAGAAUCAGAACAAGUGAUUUCUGAAAUUCGGGCGGGAACAUACACUUUGAAUUUUAAAGAGAAGGUUCGAAAACAUAUUUAUUCCGAUUCAGAAGGGGAAAUGCACUGGAGUACUGAUGUAUACCAUGCACCUGAAUUUACAUAUAGUAAUGUCCAUCUCUUACCAAAAAUAAGUCAUUUAUGGAUAUUAUCAGGAAAUUCGUGCAGAUCUAGUAUAGUUCCUUUUUCGCUCCAUAAGGAUCAAGAUCAAAUGAACGUUCAUUCUCUUUCUAUCAAAAGAAGAUAUAUUUCUAGUCCUUCCGUAAAUUCCGUAAAUAAUGAUCAAGUUAUAUUUCUUUAGUUAAGAUUUUUCGGGUAAAAAACCAAGUAGGGUUCUGAGGACUCAAUCGUAUGGAUAUGUAAAAUACAGGAUUUCCAAUCCUAGCAGGAAAGGGAGGGAAACGGAUACUCAAUUUAAAGUGAGGAGGCACUAGUCACUGCGACCCCCUUUGUGAGGAGGCACCCCUUCUCCCGAAGUUACGGGGCUAUUUUGCAGAGUUCCUUAGAGAGAGUUGUCUCGCGCCCCUAGGUAUUCUCUACCUACCUACCUGUGUCAGUUUCGGGUAUAGGUACCCUUUUGUUAAAGGUUGUUCGAGAUUUCCUGGGAGUAUGGCAUGGGUUACUUCAGCGCCGUAGAUGAUCAAUUGGAUUAUUUCUUUGUGAAUUCCGAUACGAAACUUUUGUAGAUGUGUUUUCAGAUAUUUCUUUAUCAUUUCGUCCAAGCGAAUGAGUUCCUCUAAUUCUAUGAACUUUUCUAGAAUACUUUUUUCUUGAAUAUCAUUUACAAAAGUUUCGGAUUUACUAGUAUUACACCAAUUAAUAACCCAAGAUUCCAAACUUUUAUUAAAUAAAAAAGAGAUCCACCAGGGCAAAAAAACUAUAGCUGUAAGAUAUAGAAAGGGAAUAAAUGUUUUUUUUUCAUUUUUUCGUCUGUGAAUUUUUAAUGAACACACCUCCAUAUGAUCUAAUAUUUUUAUCAAGCAUAAGUUCUAUUAUGAGGCUUUGAACUUAUGAAUCUAUUCCCUAUUUUUUAUUUGUGAGUCAACGGUUAGUCCUUGAAUUUUGAAAGANNNNNNNNNNNNNNNNNNNNNNNNNNNNNNNNNNNNNNNNNNNNNNNNNNNNNNNNNNNNNNNNNNNNNNNNNNNNNNNNNNNNNNNNNNNNNNNNNNNNNNNNNNNNNNNNNNNNNNNNNNNNNNNNNNNNNNNNNNNNNNNNNNNNNNNNNNNNNNNNNNNNNNNNNNNNNNNNNNNNNNNNNNNNNNNNNNNNNNNNNNNNNNNNNNNNNNNNNNNNNNNNNNNNNNNNNNNNNNNNNNNNNNNNNNNNNNNNNNNNNNNNNNNNNNNNNNNNNNNNNNNNNNNNNNNNNNNNNNNNNNNNNNNNNNNNNNNNNNNNNNNNNNNNNNNNNNNNNNNNNNNNNNNNNNNNNNNNNNNNNNNNNNNNNNNNNNNNNNNNNNNNNNNNNNNNNNNNNNNNNNNNNNNNNNNNNNNNNNNNNNNNNNNNNNNNNNNNNNNNNNNNNNNNNNNNNNNNNNNNNNNNNNNNNNNNNNNNNNNNNNNNNNNNNNNNNNNNNNNNNNNNNNNNNNNNNNNNNNNNNNNNNNNNNNNNNUUAAAAGAGAAUUUCUUUAUUCUAUAUUUUAUUCCGAAAUACUUUGUUUUGAUUUAUGAGAUGGGUCUAUUAUUUCGAUUUAUUACUUGUUUUGUUACUAAAUUUACUGAAUAUUGAAAUUGAAUUUAGAUACACAUAAAAAGGUUUGAUUUUAUUUUAGAAUUGUUCCGUAUAUAUCCGUAUAUAUAUAUAUAUAUAUAUAUAAUAUAUGUCUUCUUUAGUUCAUCAAUAUUGUAUUGUGAAAUUUCAGUUAAGUUAUGCUAUAACUAUAAAAAAACGAAGACUCUUGGAUUUUUUCAUUCCUGUUAAGAAAAUGUUCAUUCUUCAGCUCAUUUCAAAAUACUUCAAUUGGUACACGCAAAAAAUAGGCCAAUUCCGCUACCUUUUGCUCAAUCUCUCGUGGAGUCAAAUUCUCAUCAGUACGAGUCAAAGGAAUGGACCCUCGGCCUUUGGUUUCCAUAUAAAGGACACGCCGAGCAAAAAUACCCUCUUUCACUUCUAUUCUAAUAGACUGAAUAUCCUUCAUAAGGAAUCGGAGGAAGAUGCGACGAUUUUUUCCAGGGAAUCCCCAGCGAAAAAUACACACUAUUCCUUCUUUUCUGUCGAAUCGAUCAUAACCACUACCUACAUUCCACAAAAUUGUGUACCACAAAUAAGAACUAAUAAAUAGACCGGCAAUCCCAUAGAAAGACAUCACGAUCCCUUGUGGAAAAAAAAUUAUUUGCUGAGACGGAAAUAAAGAUAUCAAAUUUCUGCCAAGAUAACUCGAAAUUCCAACCAUUAAAAUCCCAAUGAACCUAAAAAAAGUAUAAAGGCCCAGCAGAAAUUACUUGUUUUGCGAGACCCCGCUAUAAGUUCUAUCCAUAUAUGUUCUUAUCGCCAACUCAUACUAGAUCCAAUUAUUUUUUAUUUGAAGCGGGAGACUAGCCCAAAUGAAUUUGACUUUUUUUUUUUUUUUUUCCGAAGUAACUUUCAUCAACUCAGAUUAUUCUGGUGUGAAUCUUUAGGAGGAAUUCAUCGAGUUCGUUAGAUUAAAAAAAAGAGAGCUCAGCCCCCCUAUAGGAUCCCCUAUCUGCACAUAUAUAAAAAUAUCAGCUUUACUUUGCAUUUCUUUCAAGCAUCCGCCACAGUUUCGAUUUAUUUUCAAAUAGUCCAUUUACUUAUAUAUCAUAUAUCAUAUUUACAUCUGCAUAAGAACCCUUUCAUUUUCAUUUACGUUUGAAGGGAGCUGCUCGUAUGUUAUAUCAUAUUAUACUAAACUAAAGAGAUAUCCAUAUUAUAUCUGUAUUAUAUUAUAAUCCAAGUCUAAGUCUUGAAAAAAAAAAAGAAAUGAAAUCUACCCCCGUUAGACCUAAUUGGAUCUAAAAAAUCUUAUUUUUUUGAACAUGAAGAGAUAAGGAAGCCAUCGCAAUUGCCGGCAAUACUAAGCCUACUAAAGGCACAAAAAUGGAGGGUAAGCUGUUGAGAAUUGUCAUAGAAUAGGCACCUCGAUUUAAUAUUUGUACCUGUUAUUUAAUUUUUUUAUUAUAUAUUAUAUUAUUUUUAUAUUAUAUUAUUUUGAAUAUUUUAAUAUAUAUUUAAUAUAUUUAUAUAUUUUCAUUAUUUUUUUUAUUAUUAUUUUUUAUUAUUAUAAUUAUUUUUUUAUUAAUUAUUAUUUUAUUCUAUUAAUUUAAUAAUUUAAAUUAAUUAUAAUUAUAUUUAUAUUAAUUAUUCUAUUAUUAGUUAUUUAUUAGUUAUUUAGUUAUUAGAAAGAUUUCUUAUAAUCAUUAAAAUUCAUAUAUAAUUAUACUAAGUAUAUCUAAGUGAGUAUAUAUAAUAUAAUAAAGUGCAAAGAGCGUAGAACUAACUAAAUGACUUAUUCAUAUUUCUACAUGAAAUAUGAUAAUCCAUUUAUUUGUUAUUCUUCUUUUAUUAUCUUUUUUUUUCUUGUCUUAUAACUUUCAUUUUUCUUUUUUCUUUUUUUUUAACUUUACUUUAAUAGAAAAUAUUUUAAUAUAUUUCGUAUAAAAUAAAAUAAAAAAGAGUUUUUCCGAUUAUAAAUUUCCCCAAAAUUCGUUAUAAUUUAGAAUCCGUCGAUUUUUUUUAGUAAAAAAAAAGGGAUUCCCGGGAGAUAUAUAAUUAUGCAAAACUCUAUAUUUUCUAUGCAUAGGUAAGAAAAGAACAUGAAAUUCGUUUUAUUUAUUAUACCUUGUCCAUUUUUUCACGAAAAAAGAAAUUUACUCUUUUUCUUGUUGAUCUUGUUGAUAGAGGUUUCUUAAUUAGUAAUCAGAAAUAUCGGUAAAAAAAAAUUAUCUACAUGAUUCUUUCUACA
rnacentral:lncRNA from 1 species